rnacentral:rRNA from 1 species
AUUAGCGGCCAUACCGCAGGGGAAACACCCGGUCCCAUUCCGAACCCGGAAGUUAAGCCCUGGAGGGGAUUGGCUGGCGCUGUGCUUACGCAUGGAGCCUCCUUCACGCUGCUAAUC